GGUGAGUAAUGUCUGGGAAACUGCCUGAUGGAGGGGGAUAACUACUGGAAACGGUAGCUAAUACCGCAUAACGUCGCAAGACCAAAGAGGGGGACCUUCGGGCCUCUUGCCAUCGGAUGUGCCCAGAUGGGAUUAGCUAGUAGGUGGGGUAACGGCUCACCUAGGCGACGAUCCCUAGCUGGUCUGAGAGGAUGACCAGCCACACUGGAACUGAGACACGGUCCAGACUCCUACGGGAGGCAGCAGUGGGGAAUAUUGCACAAUGGGCGCAAGCCUGAUGCAGCCAUGCCGCGUGUAUGAAGAAGGCCUUCGGGUUGUAAAGUACUUUCAGCGGGGAGGAAGGGAGUAAAGUUAAUACCUUUGCUCAUUGACGUUACCCGCAGAAGAAGCACCGGCUAACUCCGUGCCAGCAGCCGCGGUAAUACGGAGGGUGCAAGCGUUAAUCGGAAUUACUGGGCGUAAAGCGCACGCAGGCGGUUUGUUAAGUCAGAUGUGAAAUCCCCGGGCUCAACCUGGGAACUGCAUCUGAUACUGGCAAGCUUGAGUC
rnacentral:rRNA from 1 species